rnacentral:tRNA from 1 species
GGCGACAUGGCCGAGCGGUCUAAGGCGCUAGAAUCAGGUUUCUUUACUUAUCUAGUCUUUCGGGGCGUGAGUUCGAAUCUCACUGUCGUCA